rnacentral:RNase_P_RNA from 1 species
UCUGCAGGCCGUUCCAUCGCGCUCUGCCUCACGGCAGGGGGAGGAAAGUCCGGGCAACAGAGAGCACCAUCCUUCCUAACGGGAAGAUAUCCGAAAGGGUAUAGCAGUGUGACAGAAAAUAACAGCCACGCUUUGCGGCGGGGAAUUGGUGAAAAGGUGAGGUAAAAGCUCACCGGUUCCGGCGGCGACGCCGGAAGCCGCACACCUGAUGGGUUGAAAGACCAUGUAUACCGGCGCUUUAGGGCUGCUCGCCCGAGCCGGGGGGUAGGUCGUUAGACCCUGCAAGCAAUUGCAGGGCCAGAUAAAUGAUGGAACCUGGGUACAAUCCUCUUGCAGGAUGACACACAAGGACAGGAUCCGGCUUACAGGCCUGCUGCAAAA